UCGAAUUCCGCGGGGCCUACCUCCUCCCAGACCCAGCGGAUAUAGGCCAGCCAUUAUCCUCCUCCCGAUAGCUGGCCUUCUCAUACGACACCCGCCGGACCUCCUCCCCCGGCGGGUGUUGUUU
rnacentral:sRNA from 1 species